CAACAAAAAAGCAGCUUUGGUAAUCAAAAUAAGCCACACCUAGGCCUAAAACCAAUACCACACUUUCUGCUAAAGAUGCUGAUCUCUCAUGAAGAAAGUGAGCACACCCAGAGAUGAGAGGAAAGCAUCCCUGAUUCUCAAUGCUCUCAAGAUGGGCACUACUGGCAGUCUCAGGCAAAUGCUCUAAGGUGCAAAAGGUUCCCUGCUCCUUGACCAUGUGGAACAAACACAGCGCUACCCAGGAGCUUAAAGAAGACUUCCAGGACAGGAAUAUCCAGCUCCAGUCCUAUUUAUUACUGCUAAUUCCUUGACACAGAAUCCUCCUGAAGGAGAGCCAGUUGUUAAACAUUUACAAGCACACUACUGGACACAGCCAGCCUGAGACAACCUCUUGAUGUGGGAGCUAAGAAAAACUCAUACACAGACCUCACUCUCAAGAUAGAAGGAGGACCAGACUCCCCCAGGAGUCUCUUGGUGUGUGCUACUCGAACCAUCAAGCAUGUCUCCAGUUUCUUCGGUGAGCAACUGUGUGGACAGUGAUUCAAUUUACUGAAAGAAAAAUAGACAAAGUAUUAUUUGUCACAAUAUCUCUUAAUUAUACUUUCCUGCUCAUCCUUAUCACUCCUCAUUUCCCACAUCAGUGGAGGUAACUUUGGCAGACAAUUGAAAACAUUGGAUUUUCUAGCAGGGUCGGCGAAUGAGUUUAUUUGUUUAUUUUUAUUUUUUUAAACAAUAAAACUGACUCUAAGUUAAGGGAGAAUUUAUUAGAAAGAUGUGAAAGAGCUCAGAGAAUCAAAAAGGGACCUGAAGAAUGAGGGUCACUGAGGGCAGGACCAGGGCAGCUCCAGAUUAUCCAAGUGGUAGGAAGUUAUCAAUGAUCUCCUCAGAGAAUCGCUGUUGAAAUAAAUCCUAUUCCUUUUUUUUAACAGUCCUGGAGUUACUUUGCUCAAGAUGCACUGUCAUAGAAUAAAAUAUGAUUGGCCAACUUAGGUUAAUGACUACUUUGGCAAGAAGAAGGCAGGGUUCCUCGACCGACAGUCCCACUGGGACUGUCACAAUAAGGAGCCAGUAAUUCCUAAGGAAUUCAGAGUGCUCUUAAGAACAGGAGAGUGAAUGGGUGCUGGGAAGCCAAGGAGAGGUGAAUGUCCACUGCAUUCUGGGACAUGACCUUCCUCCAGUUGGGGGUCGGGUACCAUUAAUGUGGAAGUAAUGGCAAAUUAAUUGUUAUUUAAAGGUCUCUAGGUGUAAUGUCAAUAGUGCAGAAUGUCACACUAUUUAACAUUGAGAGUUAACAUUGAAAAAAAUCACAGGUAUGUAAAUAAAUGUUGAACUAAAAUAAACAAGAAACUGAAAGAAAAGCUAAAAGGUGCUGACGUUUAAAAGGAAGAUCAAACGCUACUGUUUUAUCAAACCUGAUGAACAGAUAAGUAUGUUCCAGUAGC
rnacentral:lncRNA from 1 species